rnacentral:rRNA from 1 species
AACUNACAAGGAUUCCCCUAGUAACUGCGAGUGAAGCGGGAAGAGCUCAAAUUUAAAAUCUGGCGGCCUUCUGGACGUCCGAGUUGUAGUCUGGAGAAGUGUUAUCCGCGUCGGACCGUGUACAAGUCUCCUGGAACGGAGCGUCAUAGAGGGUGAGAAUCCCGUCCAUGACACGGACGCCCGAUGCUAUGUGAGGCACUCUCGAAGAGUCGAGUUGUUUGGGAAUGCAGCUCAAAAUGGGUGGUAAAUUCCAUCUAAAGCUAAAUAUUGGCGAGAGACCGAUAGCGAACAAGUACCGUGAGGGAAAGAUGAAAAGCACUUUGGAAAGAGAGUUAAACAGUACGUGAAAUUGUUGAAAGGGAAACGCUUGAAGUCAGUCGCGUCCCGUGGAACUCAGCCUGGUUUCGACCUGGUGUACUUUCCAUGUGGACGGGUCAACAUCAAUUUCGGCCGGUGGACAAGGGCGAGGGGAAUGUAGCGUUGCUUCGGCGACGUGUUAUAGCCCCCCGUCGCAUACACUGGCUGGGAUUGAGGACCGCAGCACGCCCUUGUGGCCGGGGGGUUCGCCCCACGUAACGUGCUUAGGAUGUUGGCAUAAUGGCUUUAAGCGAC